rnacentral:tRNA from 1 species
AUCAUCAUAGUUUAAAAAAAAACAAAGUAUUUUCAAUACUUUAAUAGAAAUUAAUUCUUUUUGAUU